rnacentral:lncRNA from 1 species
AGAUUGAAUGUUUUACCAAGAUACCUUGGAGACCUGUUCAACUUAGAAUAUUGUGUGCAGAUGACUUUAUUAGAAAUAAUAGCUAAUAUUUAUUAAGCAUUUACUAUCUGCCAGGCACUGUGUUAAACAUUUUGAGUGUAUUGUUUUGCUUACGUUCAGCAGCCGUCAUAUGUGGUAAUUUGUCCUCAUUUUUAUAAGUGAGGAAGCAGUGCUACAGAGAAGUUAAGCAACUUGCACAAGGUCACGUGAUAGUAUUUGACUCAUCAGGGUUUCAAACCCAGGUAUCUGCUUCCAAAGUCAGUGCUCUUAACUAGUAUUCUGACCUUGGGAAAUGUUGAUACAAUGAAAAGUAAAGAUUCACAAGCAGAUUCCAUUAUUAUUCAUAAUCUUCAUGUUGACUUAUAUUUGGAAAGAAAAAAAGAAACAGGAAAAACAAACUCCCACUUAAUUUUUCCAACUUAAUAUUUCCAGGUGAAUUUAUCCUUUGAAGAAAGCAAUUUGUUGUCUUCAUUUCCUGUUUUGGACAUUGUGUUGAAUUUCACUGUCCCUUUUUAUGUCACUCACCUAGCUAUUUCUUCUGUUUAGACGCAGUGCUUUGUUCUUAACAAAUGUAAAUCUGACAUUUUGCAAGAAAGAAUAUUAUUUUUUGGAAAUGAGAAUUAUUAACUAUAUCAUACAAGUUUAUUAUUACCAUGAUUUUUAAAGAAGAUUGUGGUUUCUUUGAAUUGUGCCCUUUCCAGAUUUUGAAAUAUUUAAUAAUUUACCAGAGGUGUGAAACAGCAGGAGUAUCAAAGGGAGCAUUGCUAGAAGGACAGCUAGUGAUUUCCAUAGAAGCAUUAAAUUCUAAGCACCAAGCAAAUACUCUUCACUGUGUAACAACUACAGUAAACAUCUUUAAGAAGGGUGUGAUAGUUUGGUUUGCUGUUAACUCUGCGUGAACUCCCUUCUGACUGGACAGAGUUCCCACCAUUCCUGAAGGAGGUGCUACACGGCGAGAGUGAUGUUUUUCUGCAUAAGGUUGUAUUAGCUUGUGCACUGAUCAUGAUCCAAUAAACUGUGGUCAGAGUGGCAGGGUGAUUUCACUCCAAGCAAAGGACUUGAGCCACACAGCUUUUGGCAAGAAACUGAAUUACAUAGACAUUUUGAGCCUAAUGGACCGCUUCAGUCCAUCUAGUAUGAGGAGCAUUUCUCUUCUGUUUAUUGUCUCUGAUCUUUAUAUUGGCAGGAGGAAAGGUGAUAUGUGCUUGUCAUGAAACAUUAUAACAU